GACAGAGGCCUCAAGCGUUAGGCGGAAUCACUGGGCUUAAAGCGUGUGUAGGCGGACUUCUAAGUGCCUUGUGAAAUCCCACGGCUCAACCGUGGAACCGCUGGGCAUACUGGGAGUCUUGGGCCAUUCAGGGGCAACUGGAACAAGCGGUGGAGCGGUGAAAUGCGUAGAUAUCGCUUGGAACGCCGAAGGUGAAAACAGGUUGCUGGGGACAUGCUGACGCUGAGACACGAAAGCCAGGGGAGCGAACGGG
rnacentral:rRNA from 1 species